rnacentral:rRNA from 1 species
AGGUAGGGAUACCCGCUGAACUUAAGCAUAUCAAUAAGCGGAGGAAAAGAAACCAACAGGGAUUGCUUAGUAACGGCGAGUGAAGCGGCAAAAGCUCAGAUUUGAAAUCUGGUAUCAAAUUGAUACUCGAGUUGUAAUCUGUAGAGGAGUUUUCGGAGUACGGCUUUGGUUSAAGUUCCYUGGAAMAGGRCAUCAUAGAGGGUGAGAMYCCUGUUUAUGRCCSKUGUCSKUMUWCAUUANUGAAYMUCCUUCAAUGAGUCGAGUUGUUUGGGAAUGCAGCUCUAAAUGGGUGGUAAAUUCCAUCUAAAGCUAAAUAYUGGCAAGAGACCGAUAGCGCACAAGUAGAGUGAUCGAAAGAUGAAAAGAACUCUGAACAGAGAGUUAAAGAGUACGUGAAAUUGUUGAAAGGGAAGCACUUGUGACCAGACAAAUUUACGGUUAAUCAGCCAUCAAUUCUUGGUGGUGCACUUAAUUGUAGAUGGGUCAGCAUCAGUUAUAGUAGUGGAACAAAGAUCAAAGGAAUGUAGCUCCUCUUUGAGGAGUGUUAUAGUCCUGGGUGCAAUGCUGCCUACUAUGAUUGAGGACCGCGCUUUGGCGAGGAUGUUGGCAUAAUGGUUUUAAGUGACCCGUCUUGAAACUCGGACCAAGGAGUNUAACAUCUAUGCGAGUGUUUGGGNGUUGAANCCCUUUCGCGAAAUGAAAGNGAAUGGAGGUGGGAACCGCAAGGUGCACCAUCGACCGAUCCUGAUGUUUUCGGAUGGAUUUGAGUAAGAGCAUAGCUGUUGGGACCCGAAAGAUGGU